rnacentral:lncRNA from 1 species
GGCUAUUCAGGUGGGCUUUUGGGGAAGAUCUCUAAGAGGAAGUGACAUUUGACCUAGACUUGAAAAAUGAGAAGGAGCUAGAUCUGUGGCGAGGUGGGGUAAAUGCUCCAGGUAGGUCAAAGUCACUGAGCUGCAUCUUCUGGGGAGGGUUGGGUGGAGGGAGGAGAAGGGACUCAGCCUAGGUGUCUUGGAGAGCGGAGGUCUGAAAUUUUAGCUAAAUGUGUUACUCUGAGUCCUGGGUUUAGUAUUUCAAAACACAGCCCCAGCGCCUUCCUCCCUCCCCUUCUCUGGAGAGGAAGCCCGACUGGCUCUGGCUUCUGGAAUAAGCUGGUCUCGCCUUGGCCAGCAGAGGGCAGUAGUCACCAAGGUAUAAGCUGACCAGGUAGACGCUGACCUUUCCAGUAGAAUGUAGACUGAGCUACUCCAGAAGGGAAGAAGAAGCAUUGGGCUUGGUUCCUUACCCUCUCUAAUCUUCAGCUCCCCCAAACAGAUUCUGAGCCCUGGACUCUCCUGGUAAAGACCGGCAGGGUGGAGCAAAUGGUGCUUAACCACUGUAAAAGUCAAGCCCUCUGUACCAGGUAGGGGGCACAUUCCAACUCCACUGCGGACAGGGAAAAGACUCAAAAGUGAGUAGGUUUGCUGUUAUUGUUAUUAUCAAGCAAUUAAUUCUGUGCCAGGCACUGUGCUAAAUUCUUUUAUCAUGCACAGUCUCCUAGAAGCUUCACAAAUCUACGAGACGGGAACUCUUUAUCUGUAAGAGGUUGCCCAGGGCCACACAGCUGGAACCAGGAUCUGCUCUGCAGACCAUGGUCCCAAUCACUAUCUCCACUGCCUCCUUGGGAGGAUGUGCUGCCAAGGGGAAGUCAGGGCACUGGGGAGGAGGUGAACAGGACUGCUUGGUGCUGAUUGAGGAGUAAGGACUCCCUAGAUGCCUCCGCCUGGCAUACUGAUGAUUUUGAGCUGGAGGUACUUGAGAAGUGGCAGUUGCAGGAAGGGCUAUGUGACUGUCCCUUUCCUACCUAUAGCAAAUCAAAAGUUAAAAAACAAAACAAAACAAAAACCAACGAACUCCUACUGGGAAAGCUGCUUCCUCCGGACCAACAUGGGAUAGUAACCAUUAUUACCAGUGUCCAGUAAUCGAUGCUGCGACGGCUCUGUCUGCACAAACUUACCAACAUAACCCUCCUCCUCCGCUGGCUUUCUGCUCUCCAUAUACCUCCUGGGGGCUCCCCUGAAAUUUUAAAUUUUAUUUUAUUGCUCCAAGCUCAGAUCUGUCUCAUCAUUUCUUCCUCAAUUUUAUUGCAGAAGUAUAAAAGCUUUCUGCUUUGUCUAUUCGCUUCUUCAGUCCUCACACUCCUGUUAGGAUCCCACUGUGAAUGUAAAAUUAAUAAAAUGUGUAUGCCGGCCGCGGUGGUGCACACCUGUAAUCCCAGAGGCUCGGGAGGCUGAGGCAGGAGGAUCACUAGUUCAAAGCCAGGCAAGGGGCUAAGCAACUAAAUCAGUGAGACUCUGUCUCUAAAUAAAAUACAAAAUAAGGCAAUAGUAACAAAAACAACAUGGUACUGGUACCAAAACAGGCUGGUGGACCAAUGGUACAGAAUAGAGGACACAGAGACCAAUCCACAAAAUUACAACUAUCUUAUAUUUGAUAAAGGGGCUAAAAGCAUGCAAUGGAGGAAGGAUA